CCGAGAACUUUUUUUUUUUUUAAAUCUGAAGUUGCCAUAGAUUUACUGUAAAUAUGAGCAGAGAUUAGACUGAUAUACUGAAGAUGUGCUGAGCCCUACUUACAGUGUCUGGUCUUCUAGGAACUGAUCGUGAUAAUAAAAAUGGUACUUACUGUGCUUACAGAAGCAUUUGAUGAUGACAACGAUGACGACGACUGUUAUUACUGCGCCGAAUCCUGCCCCAAAGAGCACAAGUGUGUUCUUGCUAUCAGGAGGGUCUUCUGGGGCUGUGGAAAGAAAAGAAUCGGUUGUGAUGUGCUUCCUCCUGCUGGGUUCCCAUCCUACACCUCUUCAGUCUUAUCUCAUUUAUGGACCCCAGAUGUAUUAUAGAUCCAGCUGCUGGCAAAAUGGUUGGAAGCCAGGACAGAAGAGGGCAUCAGAUUUCUCUGGGACUGGAGUUAGCCACCACGUGGGGGAUGGAAAUCAAGGACAGCUCCUCUGGAAGAGUAGCCGCGCUCCUACCUGCUGAGCCUCACUGUGUCCUUAAAGCACAUCACCUGCUGCCCUCAUGUACCACUGCGGUGAGUGGUACCCCUAGUCACCUCAGCGAGAGUGACACAUUCUCCUUGUUCCCACCUCCCAGCGGGCUUCUGUGGACUUCCUAUCAUCUAGCAGAAGACUCCCGAUUCCUAGCCCCACCCCCAUCACCUGCCGGAGUUUGGAUCUUUCUUACCUGCCUCCUACUAGCCUCCAAAUGCAUCUCACAAAUGAUCACUUGCCUUAACUCUGACUCCAAAUGAUGAUGGCUGUCUGGUUAGUGAGAUUUUCCUUAAAAGCUCUCCAUUUACAAAAACAGACUCCAUAAGUAGGCAAAGCAAUCAUACCUGGACCAAGCCUGACCUACCACUUGCUUUAAAAUAUAAAGUUCUAAAUGGGAUGCAGUGGCUCAUGACUCUAAUCCCAGAAGUAAGGAGGCUGAAGGUGGAAGACUAUGAGCUCAAAGCCAUCCUGGGCUGCAUAAUGAGACACCAUGUGUGCACAUGUUUGUGUGCAUGGCAACAGAAUCUGUAUGACCUGAGAAGUCUAAAAUACUAUCUGAACUUUUUCUAAAACAGUUCCAGCAACUUUUGCUCUAAAUUUCACAUAUACCCACAUUCCAAAACAGCAUCCAAAGUAAACUAUAGUCAAGCUAUGAAUACAUAUCAAACUUAACAUAAACCUCACCUUUAAAAAUAAUAUAGAAUUCAUUAGUGAUAGAGCUAUAAAGUAAAAAUAAGCCCUGAAUGAAUAAACAAUUUUCACACUAUGAGCCAAGACACUUUAAAAUAAAAUAUUAGAAUACAUAAAACAUGAUUGAGAUUUUGAGUUUUGAGUGUUGAAGUCAUGCCAAACACAAUUUGGUUUAUGUUGGGGACCAAUGUUUUCAGGAAAUUUUCUUAUUAGCUACAAAGGAAAAUAGUUGAAAGACUCAAUCUCAGAUCUGAAUGGGAAAAUCACACACUAGACUGAACCCAUAAGCCACCCUAAACUGCCUCAACUAUAAAGAGGUAGGCAUAAAGUGGCCAACAGUGCAUAUUUAAUGCAUGUGUCCCAAAGACUGUCACACAGCAUUGCUUCUGUACUGUGCACAUAGCUGUCCUUAGGAUGGGGCUAAGAUGGGAGGAGAGUCCUAGGUGCAUCUCUGUAUACUCAGCCAUCCAAAUUGGCUGUUCACUUUCAUGAUAACCUGCCAUAGGUUUAAGAUACAUAUAAAAGGAAUCUGUCUUAUUUUUUCACUUGUAGAGAAAGGGAACUUUACAAGCUUAUUACCUGUACAGUAAAUUUUUGACUCAAAA